rnacentral:rRNA from 1 species
GACGAACGCUGGCGGCGUGCCUAAUACAUGCAAGUUGAGCGAUGAAGAUUGGUGCUUGCACCAAUUUGAAGAGCAGCGAACGGGUGAGUAACGCGUGGGGAAUCUGCCUUUGAGCGGGGGACAACAUUUGGAAACGAAUGCUAAUACCGCAUAACAACUUUAAACAUAAGUCUUAAGUUUGAAAGAUGCAAUUGCAUCACUCAAAGAUGAUCCCGCGUUGUAUUAGCUAGUUGGUGAGGUAAAGGCUCACCAAGGCGAUGAUACAUAGCCGACCUGAGAGGGUGAUCGGCCACAUUGGGACUGAGACACGGCCCAAACUCCUACGGGAGGCAGCAGUAGGGAAUCUUCGGCAAUGGACGAAAGUCUGACCGAGCAACGCCGCGUGAGUGAAGAAGGUUUUCGGAUCGUAAAACUCUGUUGGUAGAGAAGAACGUUGGUGAGAGUGGAAAGCUCAUCAAGUGACGGUAACUACCCAGAAAGGGACGGCUAACUACGUG